CGGUAGCGUUGCGACUCAGAACAACGGCGCUAGCGGCGGAGAUGAGGUGAUACGGGUGGGACGCGUCUGGAACUCUGGAUCUGAUGGGUAAAGUGAAGUGGUGUGUGUUUCUUACUUGUUGCUGAAGAAGGGAAGGUAAAUGGGCUUAGGCCUAAACUACAGUGCAGCUCGCCACUGUAUACUUAACAAGUUCUAGUGAUUCGUCGAGGGGCUUAACAACUCAUGUUUACCAUGAGUAGAUCGAUGUUAUAUAAGUAUGUGUUACGAUGCUAAAACAAUUUCUGAAAGUUGAAAUGUUAAUUUCUGAAU
rnacentral:sRNA from 1 species